UUAUUUACAGACAACUUGGAAUUGACGGGUUUUCAGGACAAAAAUAUAUAAUGAGCUCCAGGCCUGUUCUGUUCAGAAUGAACCUUGCAAAUACAAAAUGUAGGUAACAUUUUCUAUUUCGCUUCCAGACCAAGAGUAACAAUACAGAAAUAUAACAGAGUACAUGUCUUAGGCCACACCAGCCAUGGAUUCAGGUUUAGAUGAGGAGAUAAUUACGAAGGAAGCAAAUCAUUUGAAAUACUAUCACAAACAGAAAAAAAUGUAACAAACAUUUUUCAAAAGGUUCCAACUAAAUGAAUGAAAUUGAAUAAAAACAGCACCGAUGUUUUAUAGAUUCAUGGAACAGCAGCCAAGCAAAACUUCCACAAAGGGUAUCAUGCUCCUUUGUUCUGAGGACAUGCAGCAUUUGUGUUCCUACUUCUGAACGAAACACAGGAGUACACAGGCGCAGAAUCGCCAUCACCUGUGCAAUCGCUUGGCACCAGUACAUGCUUCGCACCAGGAGUGAGCUUCACUGGGCCUGAUCUCUUCUGCACAUAGCGAACACUAGGCGAAGCAUUGGAAUUGCCAAGAACAGCGCUCCCCAUUCUGUUGUCUGUAUUUCUGGCCGAAAGGGUCAGAUCUCUUAUGCUGUUGGAAGUUGCUUGAACUACCUGGCCUGGAUAGUUGAAUGUAAAACCCAAUGAUGAGCUUGCUGAAUGCACAACAUGUUGCUGAGGCAAAUUGGCAUGGAAACCUGAAGAUGGUGCACCAUGCUGUCUGGUUGUAGGCAAAGGUGGUGCUGUGGGUGGUUCAGUUCUAGUGAUAGGAUCAGAAUAAUAACGGCGCGACGGGGAAUUCUGUUGGAAUGCUGCACUGCCAUGAUUGGGAGGAGGUUGGUAGCCCAAUAAAAAAGGCUGAUUGGUCUGCGAGUUUGAAAAAUCAACAAACCUGUUUUCAUAUGGCAACUGAUCUCCAGAAAGUACAUUAGCUGCAGGGAAAGGGUGGCUGUAAUCAUGUGUAGUCCGUGCCUGACUUGCGCUUGCAUGAUAUGUUGAAGCAUGAGUUAUACUGGUAGAAUUUACUGUAUCAUUGGGGAAAUUCUGAGCUUGUAAAGAGAGAAAAGGCCGUCCUUGUUGUGGCAAGAACACAUUUGCGUUCAGGUAGUCAUUGGUGAAAGUACCUGUAUGCUUGCGCGCAGUCUCGGAAAACGAUUCAGCUCUGGUCGUGCAAACUGGAAGAUCUUUACCCAUCAAACGAACUGUCUGUCCUGUGGAAGGUCCAUUCUCACUCGGCACGUUCAACUGAGAACGAAAAUUUAACUCCUUACUGUGUGACACAUUAGAUUCAUGAGAUGGCCCGGAAGAAAAUUUGCCGCUGGUGGAAAACCAACUCUGGUGCUGCCCAAAUGAAUCCUGAAAUGUAUGAUCUGGCAAUGCACAAGGGGACGUACUCAUAGUCAUAGUAUCUUUUACUGAAAUAUUACUGCAACCACGAUGAGUCUCAGCAAGUUCAGUUAAGCUCAAUGGAGGACCAGCAGCAUCUACAUCAGAAACUUUUAUCGCCUCACCAUGCAAAAAUGUGCCCGCCGAACUUGAAUUCGUUGUUCUUUCCAAGUCAGCACUAGAUUGUUCACUUUCCAGUCUGUGUGAAACAACAGAAAAAUUCAUCCGGUUUUCUCUCUCAUGAAGCAAUUGGACAUGAGAACUUAAAGUUUCCUCAUGUGUAUGCUCCAGAUUUGGCACCUCUGAAUAUGAAUCAUAACUUUGGUCCGAUUCAGUAGAUUCUGAUAACGCCAUAUUCAAAUCAAUCAAAGGAGUUGACAUCUCUCUGCUACCAGGCUCAGGAGAACCCUCGUGAUCUGAAUUCUUAUUUCCUUCUUUCGUCUUAGUGAAAGCUUCCAUGGGAAUAUGAGAAGUGCCACUUUCUGCAGUUAUGCAUUUGUCUGGAGAAUCCUCAUGAUCUGAAUUCUUAUUUGCUUCUUUCGCCUUAGUGAAAGCUUCCAUGGGAAUAUGAGAAGUACCACUUUCUGCAGUUACGCAUUUGUCUGGAGAAUCCUCAUGAUCUGAAUUCUUAUUUGCUUCUUUCGCCUUAGUGAAAGCUUCCAUGGGCAUAUGAGAACUACCACUUUCUGCAGAUAUGCAUUUGUCUGCUUCGGUAGACGUGAAUGACGAUGAUGAUGAGGAGGACGAUGAAGAAGCCAUAGCAUCUGAAAACAUCUUGCAGAGACUUUGUCGUUCUGGUAGCUCAAGUAUAGCAUCUGCUUCUGAGAAUUUGACACGUUUCACUGAUUUGCGGCAGAGUUCUAUUACUCCCUUGCCUUCUGAAUUGCCACGUUUCUCCUUGACCAUUUUCACUGAUGUGUGCUUUGUGCACUUUAAAAUGCCAUGCCUAGGGAUAAAAUUUUCCAGAUCUCGUGGUUUCCCCACUUUGUUGGCUUUAUUGCUGUCCAUGUGCUUUUGUGUGCCAGCCUUCUUCUUAUUUAUAUUAUUGAUCUUCCCUUGCUUCCUUCUCUCAGAUAUCUUUUCUCUCUCUUCUCUGUGAUGUUGUGAGGCCUCAGUUUUCUGUGAUGAGUGAGUAUCCAGUCCAUCAAACAGGUUUGGACUUUCAAGUGCUUCCUACAGAAUUGAAGAGCAUUAUUUGAAACCAUAAGAGACAUAUAACUGUGAUUACAAAAAAUAAACAAAAAACUGAACAGCACAAAUCAGAUCUACCAGAUGUAUACCAAUUUGAAAAAAUCAUCAGAAAAGCAGAAUACCCUAGACGGAAAAGUUGCUGCAUAUAUUUAAUUUAUUAUGUUCAUUAAUUUUGAAUCAUAGAAAUUUCAGCACAAGUGUGUUAUACACAAAUGACAUUGGUGUUGCAGGUAUGCAUAUGGGUGAUGGACCAUGCGUUUAAACUUUACACCCACUGCAAAAUUCACAAAUCUUAAAUGUUCUUCUGUAGAUACACUUGUUAAUGUCAGUCUCGUAUAUCACCACCAAUGUUUAGGAGAAAAAUAGUUUUAAGAUUAUACCAGGGUUACAGUCCUACGUAGGCAUACAUAUAUUUUCUGAUGGAUGCCUAAAGUGCCUCUAACACUUUCUAUAGGAAUACAUGCUUGAUGCAAACAGGGUUAUGUUCUUCUGUAGAUACACUUGUUAAUGUCAGUCUCGUAUAUCAUCACCAAUGUUUAGGAGAAAAAUAGUUUUAAGACUAUACCAGGGUUACAGUCCUACGUAGGCAUACAUAUAUGUGCUGAUGGAUGCCUAAUGUGGCUCUAACACUUUCUACAGGAAUACAUGCUUGAUGCAAACAGGGUUACGUUCUUUUGGAUAAGUGUCAAGCUACACGACCUGAACCACAUACUGAGAUCUUAGGCACACCUCACAGGUCCCACAUUGGAAAUGAUGUCCUCGAAAAAUUCUAGGGACAAAUUGCUCAAAUGUAGACAGCAGACACAAUCCGUAACAUGAAGCGACACACAAUAUAUGUGGACGUUCAGACUCAAUCCAGGACAACAUGCACCAAUUCAUGCCACCUAGUGUUAAACAUGCCUCCUCGAGUGGACUCAAGAUGCCAGAUGUUAUGUGGGUAUCUGCGUGGGCGGAGAGCUACACCGCCACCCGCUUCCGGAGUCCAGGCAGAUCGUGAUACAUAUUAUUUUUCCGGAAUGCGCAAGAGAAUUGCGUGUCAUAUCAUUAAGAAGGAGAAGAAGAUGUUCGAAAAUUGCAAGACCUCCGCAACAGAGGCAAAGCCAACCCCACUCCACCAGUGUUCUACAGAGCUAUCUACUCGCGACGACCCACUAUUCCACCGUCCCUCUGUCACCACACCAGUAGCCACAACCUCCAUUCACUCGCAAUGCCAGCUACAAUCGCCGAAACUGCAGCCGAGGGUUGAAGACCCUCCCUACUAUUAGGCUCCUUCCAAAUCCUAUGCAUGAAGAGUAUGAACAAAGAGUUCAACACCUUCCUCGCCGCCGCACUGGCCUUGGUCCACCAGGCUACCAGUAAAUCGUGCUGGGAAGGAGUGUGCCGCUCGUAGUGCACCAUGCGUACACCUCGAACCAGAUAGCGCGCGAAAAAGAGCAUUGCACCAGAAGGUGAUCCAGCGAUUCCGGCUCCUGAAGGCACAGAGGGCAGCACGGCUGAUGCGGCAGGCCCCUGGAAGCAAGACGAUCGGACGUCCAGCAUCUGUUGUUCACUGCGAUCCACGCGAAGAAUUUGAGCUCCGGUGGCACGUGUGAGGCCCAAAUCUCCUCCGCAACAGGCGUGUGCGUCAGGCCCUGAAAGAACGCGCGAUAUGCCAUGCGCGCCGAAUAGCAUCCAGAGGCACACCAAAUCCAGCGAAACUGAUCCGGAGAUGCCGUCAUGGAACCUGCCUGACACUGCAUGGACCCCCAUAGGACGCAGAAUUGGCCGAUCAUGGGCGUGGAGAACUGCCCCUUUAUGUGCCCAGUCCAUGCGCUGCGCGUGAGGCCGUCCACAGAGCAACCAGCGCGCACCAAUGGCGGAACAGCGCCCAGAUAUCCGGCGCGAGCUCGCCAGCCAAGGCACCCUCAAUCCAUCGAUCCAUCCAAAAAAUUGCAGACCGGCCGUUCCCCACAGUACAGACCCCACGGUACAGACGGUAGACGCCGCAAAUAAUCCCAUGGCUUCCUUUGUCAGCUAACCUGCAUGCCGUGCCAGGGCCGGUCGGGAUCUGUCCGCGCCAGCCAAGCCCACCGCACGCGUAGUGCCGCAUUCAGCAAGCGCAAGUUGUGGAUGCCCAAUCCACCCAGUUCUUUUGGUCUGCAGACUGUGCUCCAGGCCACUUUGCAGUGUCCUGCCUUAGCCUCGCGUGCGCCCCGCCAUAGGUAUGUGCAUGGGAACGCCGCCACCAUGCAAGGGAGGGACAGCAGACACGGUCUACCAGCUCAAGAUCGCACCUAAUCGGGAUGAUGGAGCUCUUCGACAUGUUCGCUUUUAGGCCCAAAGCUUCACCGAAUAUAUGGAAAACCUCCUUGAUCACCAGUUCACCACCAGGUCCCGGACAGCCGGCCGCGCAAACAUCACCAUGUCGUCGGCAUAGAGGAACAACCGAUGCUUGAUGCCCACGCCCUGCAUGGACUCCGGCAGUCCUUGCCUCUACUUUGCGAAUCAUGGCCGUAAGAACAUCCAUGGCCAGGAUGAAAAGCAUGGGGUAGAUGGGGUCCCCUUGCCGCAAACCCUGCACGUGCCAAAUGCGACCCCCGGGGUGUCCAUUCACCAUCACUCUAGUCGAAGCCGAAGACAGCAGCGCUGCGAUCCAAGAACGCCAUCGGGCACCGAAACCACGCCGCGUUAGCACUUCCAUGAGCAAGGGCCAUCCGAGGGAGUCGAAUGCCUUCGCUACAUCAAGCUUGAGGAAGAGUGAUGGCACUUUCCUAUGGUGAAGCAGCUUGACAGAUACGUAUUAUCUUUACUUGUCCCUAGUUAGCAUUAAUUCCGACUGAGAGUUUGGAACUUUGGAUGUAGAAUGGUUCGCCCCGAAGAAGGUUUUCUUGCUAUAUCCAAAUUUAGUUAGACUCCCUAUGAAGCCAUCUACAGGCGUAAGCCAGAAUGUGUCACAUCUAGGCAUUUGGGUGCAUGACGCAUGUGAAGACUGUGGAGCCGCACCUCUAAAAGCAUGCCGACCGCAGCACCAAGAUGGUGUUCAUCGGAUGCGAGAGGGCUUCCUGCACCAAUGCAUACCGCUUCUAUGACCCAUGACUACUACUCCCUCCGUUCGGAAUUACUUGUCUUGGAAACGGAUGUAUCUAGAACUAAAAUACAUCUAAAUACAUCCAUUUCCACGACAAGUAAUUCCGAACGGAGGGAGUACCUCAGAUCUAAUCCUCACCCUCCUGGCCAUUAAAUAUGUGACAACAGAACACACACGCACAGCAAGGUAAAAGUAAUAACCAGGUGGAAUGCAAAACUCUUGGUAGACUAAUCCACUAUAUAUUAUGCGCAAAUAUUUACAGCCAUGGUAGUUAUACAGCUUAAAUCACAUUAUUAGGUAAAAUGUGCACUAUACUCAGGAAGAUAUGUGUAAUAACCACUUAUACCAAAGGAUAUAAAAGAAAUAAAAAUAAUAUUUAGAUCGGACAGGGACUGAAUGCUGGUUAAUUAUGGAACAUUCAUAUCUGUAUUUUAAGAAAAAAUAGAUAUACAAUUAUCCUACAGUCCAAAUUGAAGUUGGUUAAGAGUUCUCUUGACCGUGACUUCAUAUUUCCAUCCAAUCUAUCUUAUUUUCUCUUCUCCAGCUUGCACCCAAAUUUGAAGAACAUUUUCUGUAUGGCUUGGGCAGUCCAUACAUUAGAAUAUUCUAUAGAGGUAGAGCUAUCUUAGAAUGAAAAAUCAACUUAAACUACAGACAUAUAUAUUUCCAAGUCCCUCAAAUGCAUACAAAAUGAGUAUUCGUGUAAUGAACCUAUUCCUUGAACUUUUUUUUAUCAAACGACCAUGACUAAAAAAUCAUGUUUUUUUGAGAAAAAUAUAGUCGUGCACUCAUUAAGCUGUGUAGUUAAUUUUUUUUCGACAAAAAGGACCACAUGGUUGUCACAAUGAUGUGUACUCGUCCUCAAUGUACCAAUCAAAAAACAAUCUUUUCACAAUUAUCCUUAUAUACUUAAUGACAUCUAUUGACAGAUCGACCAAUUAAACUUCUUUGUUGAUGUAAUAAAUGAAUAUAUAUGAUCCAAUUCAACCUUACAGAGUAGAGAGUACUAGAAGCAAAACAAUUCUCACAGGCCGACCGGCCAGGAAUUGCGCCAGUCACAUCCUUGCGCUACACGCUGCAAACAACAACGCCAAAUGCUACGACCGGCGGCCUAGAAAGCUACAACCUAUGAAAUAAAAAGCUUCAACUGAAGACGGGGGAGCUGGUGGUGGGGCACUAUGCAACCGCAAAAUAGCUGCAACCGGCAGGAGAGAAGCUACAACCGGCAACGGGUGAAGCUUCAACCGGCACAAACGGUGAUCGCGGGUGAGCUGGGAACUCGUGACCGUGGGAUUUAUAACCUGCGACUGCAGUGAGAUGGAAUCGUCGUUUGGAAAGCUGGAACAGGUGAGAUUUUUGCUGCCACCACACCAGCGCCGCUGCUAUUGCGGUGAUCGCGUGCUGGAACCAACCGGUAGCACAGUUGCAACCAUGGCAGCAAAAGCUUUUGCAACCCUUGAAAAAUGUGCUGCAAUCGUCACCAGAUGUGGGAGCGGUGGUCCUACCUGCGGAUUUAGUUGCACACGAUGACUAGAGGGCAGCAGCAGCUGCGGCGAGUUGCGGGAGUGUGCGAGGUGGAUACGGCGAGCAACACAGAAGGAGGAUGAGAAGAAAAACUGGCACAGGCCUCCCUAUGAUUCAGGACGAAUCGGUGGGGAAAGAAAAUAGGAUGACAUGGGGUAGGAGAUCGGACGAUUAUGGGACCCAGUCUGAUGGUCUGCAUGCAACCAGCCGAACCCUAGAGCCGGUCGGCCGGCACUUAGCGCUGCUAGAAGGGAAGUGCGCACUUCACUGCGUCGCUUAUGUUCCUGAGGUUGCACAUGUUUUUUUUUAUGUGCUAGUUUUCUCUUUUGAAAGUUGUGAAAUUAUUUAAGUGAUUGGGUGGGUUUUCUCUGACCGUGUGAUUGGGGGGCAGCUUCUAAUGAGUACACGUACGUGGGGGAGUUAUCCUAUUGGCCACGUGUAUUGUGUUGGUGCUAAGCGUGGCAAAUUUUCAUGUUUUGACCCUUUUCUGAAACCUAUUCGAGAUUUGACCCUAGUUUGAAAAAAAUUCAAGAUUUGACCCUUUUGCUACCGCCAGAGUCCAUGGCGGUAAGGUUUAACAGCCUACCGCCAGGGACUUUGGCGAUAGGAAACAUCGCUAUCGCCAACCGGGCUGGCGGUAGCCUGCACAACCCUACCGCCAAGGUGCUUGGCGGUAGGCACGAGCACACAUUGUAUUUAAUACUUAGGAGGUUUUUGGCGGUAGGGCAUGCAACCCUACCGCCAGGGACCUUGGCGGUAGACUGUUAUACUCUACCGUCAUGGUCCCUGACGGUAGCAAAAGGGUCAAAUCUCGAAAAAAAUUCAAACUAAAGUCAAAUCUCGAAUAGGUUUCGAAAAAUGAUCAAAACACAAAAUUUAGGUCAACACCCGAAAUUUAGCUGCGUGCCGUGGUCAACGCUUGCUUCUUGCCAACCAAGACCCAUGCUACCCAGGCACUUGCCAAUAGGACCCACCCAUCAAAAGAUCCCACCACAAAGCCCAGUAAAAAUCGUGUACUGAAUACUAAAUUGAAGAUCUCAAUUGAAUGAGGUCAUGAUGAGAUGUGGCCCACAUAGUGUGUACGUCUCCAUGGAGUAUUAUACAAUACAUUGGCAAUGCAAAAGGGCCGUGCUACGAAUCAGUCGGAUGAUGAAAUCAUCCGCCCGCCCAGCCGUCGGAUCAACGCUAUGGGGCCGUUCGAUGCAGCAACUCCACGACAGAAGACCAUCUUUGACGCAACGGCAUGCCAGCUCCUCUGCAGCACGGCACGGCGCGACCAUAGCUCCAACGCAGCGUCGACGACAUCGGGUAAAGCUCCAUUGCAGCCCCGGCGACGUCCGGCGAAGCUCCAUUGCAGCGUCGGCUAUGCUUCCGACGGUCCGGCGUUGCUCCAUUGCAACACCAGCAGCGCUCCCAACAGCUUCAACACAACAUCACCGGAGUUUUAGCACCACCAUCGGCCACUCGCCGCAGUCACUGUGGCAGCACCGGCGACUUCCAUUGCAACUCCGGUAGUGCACCCAAUAGCGCAACUCCGGCAGUGCUCCCAACACCGAGACUUCCAUUGCAACUCCGGCGGUGCUCCCAAUAGCUUCAGGGAUAAUCCCCUCGGACGCGGACCUCCCCGCAACACCGGCUGCUCCCGCGGCGCCGACGAUGCUGCACCGGGCGCUCACCGGCAGGAUCGUCACGCUUCUCAACACCAGCAACAGCAAGGCCGUGCCCGGAACUGCAGGUCGACACGGGGUGCUGCAGCCUGCAGGUCGCAGCCGGGUGCUGCAGGCAGCUUGUUCUGACGAGGGAUGAUGGUGGAGAUGUGGGGCAGCUUGCUCCGACGAGGGCAAUGGCGAAGUAGUGGACGGAUGUUGCGUCGAGACGGAGGUAGGAGAGGAUGAAGAGAAAGGGGAUCUCGCUCCAUCGCUGGUAGGGGUAAAAAGAACGAGUCACGCGCUAGAGAUAAGGGACUGCGGGCGCGUGACAUGGCCCACGAGGACGCGUGGUGGCCGGGCGACACGGCUGAAUUCUGGAGAAAUCAGCCGGAUGUUUUAGAUCGUUUUCCAAUGCAAAAUGCUACUCCCCUAUCACAAAUAUAAGAUGUUUUGCUUCCUUCGAUCCAUAUUAAUUGUCGCCAUAGUUACCUGAUUCGCAAUUCAAAUUUGUCAUUCAAAAUUCGGUAUAUUUACCGAAUCGGAUUCGACGGGGCUGGGGUACACAUCUCCGAUUCGCGAAUCGUAGAAGGGGUUCGCGAACCCGGCAAUUACGACCUAAUAUGCCGGCUUCAGGUCGAGACUUCCUAGCUAUCCCAACGGCCACACACGCCUCGGGGCUUCAGGCACGCAUCUCUCAUCUGUUCUUAUUCUAGCACGUCUCUCCAGUAAUAUGCUUCCCCUCUCCCUGUCUGAUCUCUCCCGUUGCGCUCGUGCUCUGGCGGAUGGAGACGAAUGAGGAGGGAUGGAGGAGACGCAUGAGGAGAAAAAUUGACCGAUUAGGGUUUGGCGAAUCGGGCACCAAUUUUCGAUUGAACCGACCGAAUUUGUACUCCAAUUUGGGUCGCUCGAUCUAGAACGGAAUUCGAGGCCUCUCAUAGUGAAUCCGGUAACUAUGGUUGUCGCUCAAAUGGAUAUAUUUAGCAUUAAAAUAUGUUUACAUACAUCCGUUUCAGUAACAAUUAAAAUGGAUCAGAGGGAGUAACUUUUUUAUGAAUCAAAUGUAUAUAUACACGUUUUAGUGAGCUUGUUCAGUCAUUUUAGUCCAUGCAAUCCAUAUUAAAAUAAGCAAAACAUCUUAUAGUGUGAAGAGAAAGUUAGUGUUCACACACACGCUCCAAACUUAGUUAACUUAUUAGGUGGGUAGGUUCGCCACCUACCCUAAAGAUGUUACAUGGGCCAGUCCAUCAAACAUGGAGUCUUAUGCCUUACUUGGAGUCUUAGUUGAUUAAAGAUCUUUGUUAGGAAGGAGUCCAGUCAGUUUAGAGAUCAUAUUAGAGUUUGAAUAGAUUUACGGGCUAGUUGGUCAAGUCUUGUCUACUAUAUAUAGGGGCCGACCCUCUUCAUAAAGCAAAGAAGAAUAUUAUCGUUUGCUUUUAUAUACUUUUCAAUAAUUAGGAUUAGGUCAGCAGAUUCUUCCACUUUGGUAUCAGAGCUAUCUAUGGAGUAGAUGAAGAUCAUCAUGAAGCAAUUGGCGGCUUUCACAUGCCAAUGAGCAAAUGGCCAUACGCUCCUCGUCGGGCUAGUGCAACACUUGAGCAACGGCUACAUGCCUUACCCCCACCGUGAGAUUACACGGUUGCAGCAACCGCCUAUGACGCAACCUCUGCAUUGCAAGCACUUCUCCCCAGCGACGAGGCGCCCCUGGUGCUUCCCCUCAACCACAGCACCUUCGGUGUCACCUUAACUAGCGAGGGAAUCAUCACCGCCUCGACUGUGGACCUGCCAACCCCCACGACCUGCUCACUUUCCUUCAUUCCACCAUCUACUUCCCCUCGCACCAUGUGUCGACCGCUCGCAACUGUCAUCAUGCGCCAACACCCUUUUACCACCUCCAGCCAUCUCCUUACUCGCCACAACUACCCCUGACAUCAAUCUGGGCCACUUGGUACGCUCACCCUAUAGCCCAAAUCCCGCCCCAAUUUUGCUGCCCACCUACCAAAUAGCAACCCUACCAUCAACAACAUCAACCCUAUGAUCAUCAUCAGCAGCAGCAAUCGCAUAUUUUGCACCGCCUCUACCACUUUUGUGCCUCCACCUGCCAACCGGGGUGGGAUUUCAUAUAGCACUAUAGCCGCACCCCACCCCCCCUCCCCCAGGCCAUCUAUGGAUGAUGCAUCCCGCCCAUCACCUCCCUUCCAUCCUUAGGGUAUCUCCAGCCGUUCGGCCCCCCAGGGCGCCUAAAUAGAGCGGCCUGGGGGCGUGCCGGCGCUAGUUCGGCCCCUGGGGGCGACCUAGCUCCCAGUCACGCCCCCAAGCGCCGGCCCCAGGAUGCGAGAAAUUUAAACUUGGUCGUUCCCGCUCUUAAAAGACGCCAUAAAUCCGGCAGACGACUUUCCAUGCUUCGGCGAGGUAUUCCUCCUCCUUGGACGUCCACUUGAUGCGCGGUUCGCCUGACCUAGCCGCCCGCUUCUUCUUCUUCUGGCGCCCCUUCGUCAAAACAGGAGCCGGCUCCUCCUCGUCCUCCUCCUCCUCGUCCUCCUCCUCCUCCUCGGGUUCCUGCGCUUCGUGCGCGUCCUCGCCGUAGACGUAGCCGAGCUCGGCCUCCAUGUCGCCGCUGAGAUCCACUACCUCGUCCUGGGUGGCGAACCCGGGAGACGCGGCGGCCGCGGUCGAUCCUGUCGCGAUGAUGUCGUCCAUGUCGGCUCCUGUGUCGUCGGUGUCGCCGAGGUGCGCGAAGGGCAGCGGUCCACGGCGGAGAUGGGGCGUCGGUGUGGACGCGUAGGCGGCGGGUGGCGAGUAGUUGUAUGGAGGGUACAGCACGCCGACGAAGGCGGGCGAGGGUGUGCGCGUCGCGGGGUGGCCAUGGGGGAAGGNNNNNNNNNNNNNNNNNNNNNNNNNNNNNNNNNNNNNNNNNNNNNNNNNNNNNNNNNNNNNNNNNNNNNNNNNNNNNNNNNNNNNNNNNNNNNNNNNNNNNNNNNNNNNNNNNNNNNNNNNNNNNNNNNNNNNNNNNNNNNNNNNNNNNNNNNNNNNNNNNNNNNNNNNNNNNNNNNNNNNNNNNNNNNNNNNNNNNNNNNNNNNNNNNNNNNNNNNNNNNNNNNNNNNNNNNNNNNNNNNNNNNNNNNNNNNNNNNNNNNNNNNNNNNNNNNNNNNNNNNNNNNNNNNNNNNNNNNNNNNGGCGUAGCCAGGCGACGACGAUCCCCAUGGAGAUCCGACGUCUUGCUGUCCCCAGGGCGCGUACUGGGCGUGGCUGACGACGGGUGGAUUCAUCAUCCCCGCGUGGUCGACCGAUGAGGAAGACGCCGCCGCACGCGCCGCGUUGUCGCGGGCCUUCUUGGCAAUGGCCCUGUUCCGCCGGUCGGUGGUGACUGUGUCGCGUCGCUGAACUUCCACCCUCCACUCGGCGCUCGACAUGCCUGGUGGCUUCGAUGGCGGCGCCCUCGGCUUCCUCUGCUUCGGCUGGGCCAUGAUGCCAGUCGUGGUUGCCGCCGCGCGUGGCAUGGCGUACUUCUUCGGCGGCAUGGCGACGACUGGAAGGCGAGCUGGAGGGGGUUUGGUGGGAGGAAGGCGAGCAAGCGGAAGAGAUGCGAGGGAAAAGCGUAAAGAAGCGGCGGGAAAAGGCCCUCGGGUCGCCGCCAGGGCGGGCCCACACGCCUUUUUCGUUUGUGCCGGCUCCCCAAGCGCCCCCCAGGGCGCCGGGUUCGGCCUGGGUCCGCCGGCACCAGUUUUGGCCCGAGCCGGCGAAAACGGGCUUCUGGGGGCGUGAUUGGGCCGGUUUUUUUACGACGGCGCGGCAAAAUCGCCUGGGGAGGGCCUGUUGGGAGCGCGGCUGGAGAUGCCCUUACCAACAAUCACCUAAGAUCAGGUCUCGCUUCCGCAAACUUGACUUUCGGACGUAUGACGGUGAUGUCGAUCCUCUUGGUUGGCUCAAUAGGUGCGAGCAGUUUUUUCGUGGACAGCGCAUAGACGAGGCUGAAAAGGUAUGGACUGCAGCCUACCACCUCACCAAUGGCGUUCAGUUUUUUUGGUACUUAAUUACAACUAGAGUGCGAUUUCAGCAUGCCAACAUGGGAGCAGUUCAAGGAAGCUUGGCACAUUCAGUUUGGGCCGUCACUCCGCACCAAUCCCUUUGGCGAGUUGGCACGUCUAACUUUCGCCUCCUCGGUUGCUUACUACACCAGCAGGUUUUUAGCGCCCAUGUCCCACAACAAUGAGCCAUUUACACCGUCCCAGCAACGGUUUAUGUGCACAAUAGGGCAAUAGGGCUGCUCGAUGGUCUUUGCACUGAAGUCGAGCUUCAGCGGCCAUCUAACCUUCACACUGCCAUCUCCUUCGCCAAGGCCUAUGAGCAGGGGCAUUUCCCUCCAACAACAUCACCACACCAGCCUUCUGGUCCUAUAGAGCCCUUGCGCCCCAACGAUCUUUAUGCGGUCAACGCAACUACAAUACCUUCCCCACCAACGACACUAGCAAUUAUUCUGUCGUCGACCACUCCAUAGCCAACCCCGCCACAGCAGGUUCGGCGCCUCACUCUACAUGUCAGGAAUUUUGCUUCAACUGCGACGAGAUUUAUGUUCGGGGUCACCGGUGCACGCGGCUCUUCUUCAUCGAGGAUGAUUUAAAAAGAAAAAGGUAAAAUGCCGAUGUUGUUGGUGACACGCUCAUGACACGGUGAGCGAGAGACACAACCCAGAGCAAGGCCAGAUAACCCACGACCACUAACCCUAACCUUCCUCUCUCGCACUCUGUUUGGCUGCAGCAGGGAUUGGGGAUCAAGGGAGACUCAAGAGCACCACUGCCAUCUAUGCCGCCUGGAGUGGCUCGCGCCGCCAUCUCCGCCGCCGCCUGGAAUCGCCUCUCAUCCUUGUCGACUCGUCAUGCCGCCGCCUCGAGUGACUCGAGUCUUUUCGCCAUCGCUGCCCAACGCCAUCAACAGUGAGGUAGUAUGAUUCAGUCGCACUCGUGUUUGGCUGCUUGAUGUGUCUUGUCUCCUGUGUGCUUGGCUGCUGGCUUAUGCUAUGGUGCAUGUGUCUAAUUACUUGUACUUGUGUUUUCUCAUUAGAUAAAAUGCUAGUUCGGAUGUUCCUUUGAACAUAGUUAGGUUGGGGAAGCAAACUUGCACACAUAUAUACCUCCAUUUAUCUUGAUAAGCUAUGCCUACUGUCUUGUUGUUGUUGAAGCAUUGCUUGCUGAUGUUGCUGAUGCCUACUGUCUAGUGUAUUGUAUAUUGCUUGUUGAUGUUGCUCUUUUGUCUACUGCUAGGGAGGGAAAUACGACAUGGCAUCUACUGGGAGUGGCAUGGCAGCAAGCCAAUCUUCACUUGGUGGUACUGCUACGGAGGGAAAUACGAAAUUGACAAAGUCUAAUACCAUAUGAUGUACUCUCUCCGUAAAGAAAUAUAAGAGCGUUUAGAUCACUAAAGUAGUGAUCUAAACAAUCUUAUACUCCCUCUGUACCAAAAUAGUUGUCGCUGGAGUAGCUAAAGUUCAGCUACUCCAGCGACAACUAUUUCGGUACAGAAGGAGUAUUUCUUUAUAGAGGGAGUAUUUUUCUAUUUUGCAUACACCAUGAGGAGUCGAGGAGCUUGAUGAUCAAUCAGGACUUGAAAAGAGUCACGGAGGCGAUCAGCAACCAAUGGGCAGUAUUUUGAUAUCUCUCACUCUUUAUACGUGUCAUUUUAUUAAUUAUUUUUAUAUACUCGCCGUAAUGCCGUAUUGUUGUUUCUAAAAAUUGUCUUAUCCCGUAUCAUCAUAUCGGUGAUUCAUAGCCUACAACGAACAAGUUGUUUCCCAAGGAAGGGAGAGAUGUUAUGUGAACCAGCCCAUCAAACGUGGAGUCUUAUCCCUUACUUAAGCAACUUUGUUAGGAAAGAAUUCGGUCAGUUUAGAGAGGGUACCUUGAAUAGAUUUACUGACUUGUUGGUCAAGUCUUGUCUAUGUCUACUAUAUAAAGGAGCCGAUUCCUCUCAAUAAGACAGAGAAGAAUAUUGUCGUUUACUUUUAUCUACUCCCUCUAUAUCUAAACAUAAAACGUUUUUGCAGUUCAAAUAAAGAGGAAGUACUUCUCAGUAAUUAGGGUUAGGUCAGUAUUAGAUUCUUUCAAAAGAGUAUCCUAUUGAAUUUCUAUAAUGUUAAUCCAAUUUACUAGUUAAUUACUGGACAGCAUAUUAUGGAUCAUGUCAAACAUACGGUGACAGCAGUCUGACCGCAACAUGCAUAUUAAGAACCACCACCCUUUUCGAAGUACUGCUUGUAUGCAUGUCUAGCGGUUGUAUUAAGAACAGCUAUCAUUAGCAUACAUACAUCAUGAAUUGUUGAACAAUAAGACAGGUCGAUAGAGGCGAAUAAAAGUAUGAGAUAAGUAAUGAUGAAGGCCCCUUAUCCAAUAGAAAUGCAAAAGAUAUCAAUGAAGUAAAUGCCUGCUCCACGUCUAUGAUAAAGUCUCGUGUAUGGGUCCGGACCAGACUGAAAUCUGCAGGAGGGACACCAACUAGGCACCUCUCACAACUCAUCGUGCAUGGUGUCUCAGAAGGCAACACGACACGCCAUGUAUGUACUAUAGCAUCUACAGCCGGACUUGGCAAAUCCGGACCGUCAAACGCUCGCGGACAUGCCCGGACGCGUCCGUGGGCAUUGACCUAUUCGUCGUCGGAGAUGUCAACGAUCUCCGUGCCGAGCUCCGGCAGCAUGGUCGGCAGCUUCAGCUCCGGCUGGUCCGCUCCGGCCUACUCUGCCUCUAUCUCCGCGUCAAGUUCGGCGAAGAGCGUGUCGGACUCUACAUACUCCCGCCGAAGGAACAUCUGGUUGGCCUCCACAUAGGCCUCAUCCUGGAUGGACUCCAGGAUGGCUUUUUGGUCCGCCAUCUCCUGGCGUCGGCGAACUCCAGCUCCGCCUGCUCCAUGUUGAAGCCCGACAGCUGCUGCUUCGUCUGCUCCGGCUCCUGCUACUCCGCCUCCUCCACCUCCAUCAGAGCCAUCUCCUCCUCUUCCCCGGCAGCGAUGCCGGCGGCGCGCGCGGCUUGCCUUGCCUGGAUCUCUUGCUGGAUCUCGGCGCGGCGCUCCGGCGUCAGCAUGGCGUAGUAGGUGAUCUUGCUCCGAACCAUGGCAGAGUGCUAGAGCGUGGGCGGAGGGUCGGACCGGGGGCAGAGCGCCGGAGCGGGAGAGGGAGGAGGUGGAUGAGCUCGGACUGGCGGCGGCGAAGAGGGGGGAGGUGGAUUGGUUAGGGUUUCGAGACGCCGGCCGACUUAAAUAGCCGGAUUUGGUCUUGGGUGGCGAGCCGGAGCAGCUCCACGCGGUGUGCGCGGCGACGGACGCGGCAUUCGUCAGACCGUCGGGUUUCCUGGCGUUUCCACGUGAGACCCCGCCGUCAGGCCGUCAGACCAACGUGAUGGGCGUUCCCGAACGUCCCAUAUUGCCCCAUAUUUGAGCUGGAUAUGGAGUGACGGUCAGCCCGGGCGUUUGAGGCCCUUUUAUGAAGCCCGUCUGGGACAAAAAACGUGACUAGACAAUGACCGUGCGGCCCGCCGGGUGUAUGAGGCGAGUUUGAGAGGUCCUGCCGUAGAUGCUCUAAGAUAUGGUACAUAUGCUGUGCAGUACCAGCUAGCCGGUCUAGAGUGCACUACCACUAGCGGUUCGAUUAUUGGUGGUCAUCAUAUAAUCUAUCGGAUUCUUAAUGAUGAUAUUGGUCCUAAGUCACUGCAUGAGCAGCUAUCAACGUCAUCAAGUUCGUCCAAGAUUUGCACAAAUGGUCACAAGAAUUAUGUCCCAUUCCCCGACUUGGACUGAUCGAUCAAAGUCCACAAUUACGCAUGAAAUAACAAGAUUUUCGCCUAUAGAUAGUAAAAAAGUGCUAGCAAAUGUACCAAGAAAGAAAACACACUGAUCGUUCUAACGUUAGCAGUUAGCACAAGCCGCUUAAAGGUUUUGGCCAGAAAAUCGACGUGCACCUGCAAGCAGCCAUUAUCGAGUAACCACACAAUCUUCUAGACGAACUAGCUAGGCCUGGUUCAGAAUAGAUUAGGAACUGGGAUCGGCACAUCUAACAUACAAUAUCCCAUAUAGAACCAGCCAUAACUAAUUGCCCCCACAAUAUGUAUCGACAAAUAACAAUCACAUUAGCUGCUAAUACUACUAAUAACAUGGCAGUAAGACAACCAAAAUCUAAUUACGUAUAUGGAGCUAGCAAGCAUCUAACCAUCCUGAGCAAGUCAAUCAAGACCGGAACCAAUCGUUCCAUCAAUUCUUACGAGAUAAAAAGGGUAAAAAUACGUGGCAGGCAGAUAUCAUUGCAUUGGCAGACAGAGAAAACUUGGGUUGGGCUGGACCACGUACCUUGCUGGCAGCGAAAUUCCCCUUGGGCUCCCGGCCUCCGCUGCUCUCCGGCGCGGCAGCAACUGCCGCCGUCUCCUCCUUCUGCCCCGCCUCCUCUUCUUGCAGCUUUCUCUUCCGUUUCUUCUCCUCCUUGGCCCGCCUCGCGAUCGCGCACAGCGCCUCGUCGUCGUCCACCUCCGUUUGCUCUUUGCAUCCGGCAUCACCGGCGGGGGGCGCGGCCAAGGGGGGCGCCGCGGCGAAGAGGUCGGAGAUGGACCGCUUCUUCGUCGGCUUCGCCUUCCCUGGCGCCCUCCUCGGGGACGCCGCCCCAGCUGCGGCAGCCACGGCGGAGGCGAGUUCGUCCGCCCACCACCGGCACCUCGGCGCCCUGAGAGGCGGGAGAUCCUCGAUUCCCAAGAGAAGCAGCCCCUCCGCCCCUGUCUUGCACCUCAUGCUCGCCGCGUAAUCCCUUCGGACGGACAGAUCACAGACGGAGAUCAGAAACGAAAAANNNNNNNNNNNNNNNNNNNNNNNNNNNNNNNNNNNNNNNNNNNNNNNNNNNNNNNNNNNNNNNNNNNNNNNNNNNNNNNNNNNNNNNNNNNNNNNNNNNNNNNNNNNNNNNNNNNNNNNNNNNNNNNNNNNNNNNNNNNNNNNNNNNNNNNNNNNNNNNNNNNNNNNNNNNNNNNNNNNNNNNNNNNGCCAUGGACGCGUCGUCGACGCGCUCCCUCGGCGCAAAUCUGCGCUGGAUUUCGUGAUUUGGUGGAGAGGAGGAGGAGUAGACUGGAAGAAAGGAAGGUGGGAGGAAAGAGGUAGGUGAAGGAAAGGCAGGUACGGAGUAUGGUGCAUUUUUAUUUAGGCCUUUUUGGUUUAUAGGAUAGGAUUAUCAUAGGAAUAGGAAUUUUAUAGGAAAUGAGAUGACAUGUAUCUCAAAUCCUAUGAGUAGAAAUAGGAAACAAGAUGACAUUUGGUUGACACCAAAGAAAUUUUUUUAUUGAGUCUAGGCUUUUUUUUAUUUUCUUAUGAAAUAUGGAGGAUAGGAACCAAUCCUAUGUAGGAAUAGAAAUCCAUUCCUAUGAAUCAAAGAGCUCUAAAGGAAAAAAUCUUAUAAGAAUCCUAUCCUCCAGAUUUUUUAUGAAAUUCCUCUAAACCAAAGGAGGCCUUAAAAGAUAGGGAUUACCGUACGGUAUUAAUAAUUCGAGGUGGCCUUUGAUUACAUCGAGGCGAAUAUUGUACUUUUUUCCCGCUCUUCCCACCGCUUAUUUUGGGUACAAUUUAUUGAUUUUUCAGUAGUUAAUGCCCUGGCUAGCUGGCAUUGGUGUCGUGCCGCGGACAGCGACCGCUGAUUCGCGUCCAAUUAGUUUUUCUUCAUUUCUUGUGUGUGUGGCAGGUGACGUUGCACUAUCACGGUCUUCCGUUCGCCGGAGGGCAUUAUCAUGUGAUAACGACCGACUUUCAAAAAGAAAAGAUAACGACCGCGGCGCGGUGGGGGCGCACAACUUAGCCUCCAAUGAUCUAAACUUGCGUGCGGAGAUACAUGAAGAAUCACAGGUAAGUUUCGGCCUUGUUUCAAAAGUGUACAAUCUAUAAGCAGUUUUACAGGGGUAUGCAUGGUAUUUUUUCGCAAUUUGUUAUUUGUAAAAUGAGGCUUAAAAAGGUGAUCCUAAAUAAAAAUGCGUAAAUUUGACGCUUUGCUAGGUGGGUCUGUAAUGUUUAUGACUACACUUUAGUAUUUUGGGCUCAUGUAAAAACAAAUAAUACAAAUUGGGUAUCGUUCCUUGUGAUUUGUAUGAUUGAGAAAAGAUGCUUAAAAUGUAAUCCUAAGUUAAGAAGAGAGUAAUAUGACGCUUGGCUAGAUGUGCCGAUAGUGUUCACGACUACGGUACAGUUUUCAUAUAAACACAUAACUAGGAUAGUUGNNNNNNNNNNNNNNNNNNNNNNNNNNNNNNNNNNNNNNNNNNNNNNNNNNNNNNNNNNNNNNNNNNNNNNNNNNNNNNNNNNNNNNNNNNNNNNNNNNNNNNNNNNNNNNNNNNNNNNNNNNNNNNNNNNNNNNNNNNNNNNNNNNNNNNNNNNNNNNNNNNNNNNNNNNNNNNNNNNNNNNNNNNNNNNNNNNNNNNNNNNNNNNNNNNNNNNNNNNNNNNNNNNNNNNNNNUGUUUCAAAAGUAGUAUACAAUCUAAGUUGUUUUACAGGUUUAUGCACUGCUAAUGUUUUUGUGAUUUGUUUUUUUGGGAAAUGAGGUUUAAAAAGGUGAUCCUAAAUUAAAACACGUAAAUACAUAUACGUAUGAAGGUUCGCUAGGUGGGUCGAUACUGUUUAUGACUACUAUUUAGUAGUUUGGGCUCAUGCAGAAACACAUAAUAGUAAAUUGGGUAUAAUUUUCUGAUUUGUUUGAUGGAGAAGAGAUGCUUAAAAAGUAAUCCUAAGUUUUAAAAAAUAGUAAAUAUGAUGGUUGGGUAUAUGUAUUGGUAGUGUUUACGACAACAGUACAGUUUUCAUAUGCACUGUGGCAUGCACCUCGCACGCCGGGACAAUGGACUAUUGUUCGGCAUUAUUGUCGAUAUAAACACAUAAAUAGGAUAGAUGGGAAAUGCACUGGCACUUACCAGGCCUGGACCAGUGGGCGUCCAUUCCAGACGAUGAAACAAAGGCCCCAAUUUUCAGCCCUUGGGCUGUUGAGACACACCAAGAUUCACAGGUAAAUUGUGGUUUUGUUUCAAAAGUAUACAAUAUAACAUGUUUUAUAGUGUUAUGCAUGGGUGUUGUUUUUGUGAUUUUUUUUGAGAAAUGAGGCAUAAAAAGGUGAUCCUAAAUUAAAGCGCAUAAAUAUGACAGUUUGCUAGGUGGGUUAGCGUUUAUGACUACGGUUUAGUAUUUUGGGAUUAUGUAAAAACAAAUAAUAGUAACGCGGGUAUAGUUUUGUGAUUUGUUUGAUUCAGAAAAGAUGCUUAAAAAGCCAUCCUAAGAUAAGAAAAGAGAGUAAGUAUGACCAUUGGCUAGGUGUGUCGGUACUGAUUACAACUACGGUAUAGUUUUCAUAUGCGCUGGAAUGCACCAGGCACACCAGCACAAGAGAACAUUGUUCGGCAUUAUUGCCGAUAUAAACACAUAAAUAGGAUAUAGUUGGGGAGGUGCGCUGGCACACCAGGCCCGGACCAAUGGACAUGCAUUCCCGGCGACGAAACAGAGCCCCAAUUUCGACCCCCCCCCCCUCCCCCACCUAAUUACUAGCACUUUGGCCCAUUGGGCCUAAUAAUCCCCGGUCCAAAAAAUUCCCUAUUGAAUAGCCUUCAAUUGCUUCAAGUUCUAUGGUAGGAAUAGUCCUAUUACUUUUUCCCUACCGGACAAGCCCCACUAUCGAAUUUGGGCAUUUUCUGUUUGUCAGUUUGACUUCGACAACCUCUGCCUUGGAGCCUUUAUGAGUGAAGUCGUCGGCUUGGUUUGGCGAUACUACCGCGGCUACCUAUCUAUAUCAAGGUGACCCCCUGCUGCCGUUAUGUUUGUCGUGAUUGGCAGUCUCUUCAUACGCAACGGUAUACUAUUGCGGCGAUUCAACGAGAUUUAUUUUUCUACCGGUCUUUGCAGGUAAUUCAAUGCUUGGAUUUCUCUAUGUUGCCCAUUAUUGGCGUGAGCUAUGGUGGUGCACCAACGACAAGUUUAGUUGCGGCUAUGGCAAGAUUAUGGAGGUACAUAGUUCUAGUGAUAAGUUCCCCUUUGUUACGCUAGCUAGUUGUCGUGUCAAUGACCUUACAUCGGAUUGUAUCGGAUUAAAAAAAUGACUUCGAUGCCUCAUGCCUUUGUCUCGGUGUGAUCGGUUUGGGUGACUCACAUACCCAUGCGACUCAGCGCCUCGCCCUCGCCUGCCCCUCCAUCCCUCGAUAGUCACCCCAGAGUUCGACGUCCAUUGCUUAAGGCCAUGAUUUCACGAUCUGUACAGUGCGCCUCUUUCUAGUUGGUCUAAUUGCCAGGAUGUGUGUGGGAUCAUCCUAUAGUACUCCAACGCAAUGUAAUUUAUACUUAUUAAUCUAAUAAUCAGAAAAGGGGGCAUCAAAAUAUAGAAGUAACAGGGAACAAGGCAAACCAAAGGGGAAGCUCCAAUCUUGCCUCAUUUUUUUUUUGAGACAAAAUCUUGCCUCAUUUUAGUUCUGAGCCAUUCCGAACUUGUGAUUAAUCCGGCGAAGAUUAUCCAACAAAGAGGUGAAUAGGUACGAUUCUAAUUAUACCCAAUUCCGUGUAAGACACUAUUGCAGAUAUAGCAUUAUAGUUAUAUAUUCUAAUUAUACCGCAAAUCAGGAGAAGUAGGGCCCAUUUUUUUAGCUUAGCACAUGGCCCGGUUUUUGCUGCCUUGGCUUGAGUAUUGCCCAUGCAUGCUAGCAGGCGAGACCAUGGUUCGGUCUCUGAGAGCUCAUGUAAACAAAUACUCCCUCCCUUCCAAAAAUGUCUACAUUUGCCCAUGUUUAUAGAAAAAUUGUUUGUAUUUGCCCAAGUUUAUAGGAAAAAAUAUCAUCAUCCACAAUGCAUAUGUGGUAUCCAAUAUUCGUCACAAAGUGUAUUUAUAUUUUCUUUAUUUAGUACUCUCUUCGUUUCUUUAUUUAUAUUGGCUGUGCAUAAAAAUUGUUCCCUUCCUAGAAGUGUCGUUGUUGGAUCACUUAUGAUGUUACCUGAGGGUUAUAAUUGAUGGUUGUUGUUUUUGUUUGUUGCAAUUGUUGGCUCGGUCGCCUUUUCUUUUUCUUUUAUAAUAAUUUUACUGCGUGCAUCCUCGAUUUCUUGAGAACCUCUUGAGAUCGUGUUGGUGCAGAGACUGGGUGUAUUUAAUAUCUUCUCAAUAUUAAUAUAUUUGUUUAUUGGAAAAAAUAUUUCACAGAAGAAAAAGCAUGAUUAUAUAUUUUUCGUAAAAGAUAUUUUCAAGUACGCUAGCAUUGUGUAUGCACGUCAUUAAUGAGACUAUGUCUCAAUACUGUUGCUCACCACUUUCUAGUUUCGUGUGUGUCAAAACGUGAAGGUAGUACUUCCUCCGUUCAGGUUUAUUGGGCUCGGAGACCACUUCUUUUGUACCAAGGCACAUAGUAAUUUGCUCAUGCUAAAUCUUUCAUCCCACUCACAAUGUACUCUUUCACAUGCCAGCUCUCACGUGCAGCCAAUAGAAAAGCAUGCAUGCAGCAUAUUUAUUACUCCUUCCAUUCUAUAAUGUAGUGCGUCCAUAUUUUUUGAGAUUUAGCUUUGUUCAUAAAUUUAAUCAACAUGGGCAACUGUAGCGGGAGCAUGACAGAUACUUUGAAUUCGUAUUUUUAAAAAAAACAAAUGUGUGAUUUUUUCAGUAAAAUGAUUUAAGUAUUAUUGGUCUAAUUUAUGGUCAAAGUUGAAUCUUAAAAAGUGUGGGUGCACUACUUUAUGGAAUGGAGGGAAUAUUUAGCUAUGAUACUACUCUCUCCGUCACGGUUUAGAAGGCACAGUUAAAUUUACGUGUGUUUCCACAAUAGAUAAGGUUUAGGGCGCAUUGCAUUUAUUUCUAGUAGCUAAUUAGUACUCCCUCCAUCACAGUUUAAAGGGCGUAUCUCCAAAACCAAUUUUUUUCACAAUUAGAGGAAAAUAGGGCGCAGGUCAUUAAUUAGCCCGCUGAAAUUACUCCUUCCGCUUGCCUUCCUGGUGCGCAUGCAUGGUGUGAACUGAAACUUUAGGUGGAGGUGUGAAUCGGUUUUGUUUGCAUGCAUGGCUGUGCGAGGCCUUUUAUUGGACGGGAAGAUUACUAUGUGUUUGUUUAGCGAUUAAUUAGGCACAUAUCCUUAACUACCGCAACUCCAGCGCAUCAUUUAUUCCUGCCAAUUGCUAGCGACCUUGGGCCCAGAGAGAUGUGAGGUACGCCUUUUAAACUUUGAUGUAGGAAGUACUCCGAUAUACUAUUUCUAUAUGCAUGCAUAGUGUGAAUGCUAUUUUUUAGCCCAUCCCACGACCAAUAGAUAACUACCUAGGUCUCAGAGAAUUUCCAAUCACGCCUUCUAAACCGUGACAGAGGAAGUAUCAACAAUUCCUCUCGCUAUAUCCAAUAAAAUAGCUGCAUGCAUGUAGCUUUGCAAAGCAAUGCCUUGUAAAAACGGACAUGCAUGCAUGUGAUGCAUCCUAGUCAUAACUUCAACUUUUUGCGUAAAUUUUUGUACGGAUGUGGGCGGUAUAUAUGUUUAGCAUUUGCAAUAAAAAUAUAUUGUUCAUGCCUCACAUCUUUAUUAAAGAUGGCACCACGUUAAGUUCAGUUCAAAUGUAUUUCUCUUGUUAUACUCAUUUUGCCACAUACUACUUGGUUUGUUUUAUUAUAUUUUAAACGUUAACCAAGAACGCUUUACAUUAGUUUUUUCAUUAACUUAAUUGAUUUUAAACUCAUUUUGCCACAUACUUGGUUUGUUAUGCAUUUAUUUUAAUAUAGUUUCCACGGCAACGCACGGGGCAUCAUCUAGUUGCUUGAUAUAAGGAUAUGUAAUCAAAUCCCUAAAAAAAAUAUCCAGACUAGUGGUGCAACGCAAUACACUUUAUAUUUUGGUUUUUUUAUCAAAAAAUUAUAUAUCUUAUAUCAAGGAACGGAGGGAGUAGUACUUUUGAAGUUUUCAAAGACAAUCAAACAAAUAUGAUGAAUUUAAAGUAGUGAUGCCAUAUUAAUGGAUGAUCGUAAUCCUUCUUAUUAUUGAAAAGAUUCAUAGUAUCUCUUAAUAAUGGGAACAUUAUUUUAGUGAGAUAAGCUUGCUGGAAUCACAUGGGCGCCAAUCCAUAUCGAGAACCAAUAAGUAAGCCACAAGCCUACAUCCAAUAUACGGCCGAAGUAUAAUACCGACAAAGUAUAUGUAUAUAUAGCUCAAAAAAGAUCGUGGUGACCUUGUGUAAAGAGUGUAACUUUAAAGGAAUCAAGCAUUCCCUGUCUAUACUAUAAUAGAAGAUGGAAAAUUACAAUUACAAAUUAGAGCAAUUUGAAUCAAUAUGUGGUUGGAUGGUUAGAAAGACGUGGUAUUUUCAGCCCAUCAGAGUUGAAAUCCUGGUGCUCGCAUUUAUCCUGGAUUUAUUUCAGGAUUUUCGGCGAAGCGCGUUCAGUGGGUGGGAACAUUCCCGUCGACUACAAGGCGCCUACGGUGACUUCGUAAAAUCACAAGAUGAUAUGCCGACCCAGUCUCUCUGAGGUGCUCAUAGGGGUAGGGGGUAUGCAUGUGUGCGUUUAUAUAGGUGAGUGUAUACACGUGUAUAUGAGCGCUUGCGUCUGUAUUGUGUUAAAAAACAAAGUAUAGCAAUUCAAAUGACUUUCUUCAAGUUUCUCUGAAUUUCAUGGUAAUAUUGUUGGGAUGUGAUUCGGUGACCAAUAUUACACUAUAUCGGUUAUUAAACAUGGAGGUUUACUUAAUCACUAUUUUUUCUAAGAAUAAAUUUAAAUCACCCUCGUUUAUUUCAAUCAUAGCUCCAAACUUAGAAAAACGAUCGAUUAAUUAUAGAUACAAUAAAAAAUAAGUGUAGUUAUUGGCUAACUAAUUGCAUUUAAGAAAAUACGAAAUGUAAAAAAUGAGCAUUUCAGUAGAUGGGCUCUUUACGUGUGCUAGAUGGGCAUAACAUAAUAAAUCUGUUUAACUAGGGGAAUGCAAAUUAAAUUGUGUGCGAGAACUAGGAAGGAAUUAAGAAAUAAAAGGUUAAGUCCAUGAAAUAUUCUAUUUCUAAAUAGCUACAAACCCACUACCGAUUUUUCCUACACAUGCAACCAUGCUAGAUAAGCAUGGCAUACGUACAAGUUAUAAAUUAUAUUUUCAUUACUCUAUGCAUGCAACAUUGCCAUAUCAUAAAUCCAUGUCUCUUAACUGCAAUUCAUUUUUUUAUGUGCUUCAAAAUUUUUAAUUUGUUGAGGUUGCAUUUUCUUUCCAUUAGUUUUAGAUUUUUUUUGUAGCAACUAUUUAAACAUUCCUUUUAGCAAGAUUCCUGGAGCAAUGCACCGGGCAUCGUCUAAUAUAUGUGAAUGGGCGUGCAAUUGUAAAAAGGACACAUGUAGAGCUAUUUUCAUUGUGGGGAAACAUUUCAUGAAGGUGGACAAUAUCACGGAGAUUAUAUUAGUAUGGCUACACGGAAGUAUAUAGUAAGGCUAAUCAUAAUGGGGAGUAUCAUAUAUUAUAGUAUCAUACGCAUGAUACUAUAAUAUAUGAUACUAUCUUCAUAAUGCAUAGUAUUAUAGAGUGGUAUUAUAUAUGACCUUAUUUUUAUGAUCAUGCAUGACAUAAAGUAGUAUAACAUUUAUUAUGUUACGGUGUCUAACUAUGUUACUCUAACCCUCUCUCUCUUCUUUAAUUCUCUGCCACAUCAGCAUGUUUGCUAUUCCCGAGUGCAUGAUACC
rnacentral:lncRNA from 1 species